GAUGAACGCUGGCGGCGUGCCUAAUACAUGCAAGUCGAGCGAAUGGAUUAAGAGCUUGCUCUUAUGAAGUUAGCGGCGGACGGGUGAGUAACACGUGGGUAACCUGCCCAUAAGACUGGGAUAACUCCGGGAAACCGGGGCUAAUACCGGAUAACAUUUUGAACCGCAUGGUUCGAAAUUGAAAGGCGGCUUCGGCUGUCACUUAUGGAUGGACCCGCGUCGCAUUAGCUAGUUGGUGAGGUAACGGCUCACCAAGGCAACGAUGCGUAGCCGACCUGGGAGGGUGAUCGGACAAACUGGGACGGCGACACGGCCCAGACUCCUACGGGAGGCAGCAGUAGGGAAUCUUCCGCAAUGGACGAAAGUCUGACGGAGCAACGCCGCGUGAGUGAUGAAGGCUUUCGGGUCGUAAAACUCUGUUGUUAGGGAAGAACAAGUGCUAGUUGAAUAAGCUGGCACCUUGACGGUACCUAACCAGAAAGCCACGGCUAACUACGUGCCAGCCGCCGCGGUAA
rnacentral:rRNA from 1 species